UUAUUUGAAGGAAUUCUAAUAUAUCCCUGAAGGCUUUGCUGCUUAAAGCUGUAUCAAAAGAAGCAUCCAAAGCUUUUUGCAUGGUAUCAGAACCAUUGCAACCAAAGAGCAGUCCUGCCUGUUGUGCAGAGUACAGAAUGUUCUCUUCUGUGAACUGCAGUUGAACUUCUUCAGCCCACUUUGGUUCAGGAGCCACAUUAAUAUAUGGAAAGAGAAAGAGAAACCCUCCCACCCCCUCACAGGAAAAGCCCAACUACCAAAAGGUAAUGUUUUCAGCAGAUGGAGCUUAAAAAAAAUCCACCAAAUGUUGCUAAUCUUACUAUAAAAUCACAAGAGUUGGCAACACUGCCACUCUCUACCUGGCCUCGUGGAUUUCAAGGACCAAAAAUCAGAGAAACAAAAAAACCAACAUAUUUUUUCUUGGGAUCUGGCAUGCACGGGAGUCAUGCGGCAUCAUCCUUAGGUCCUAUCUUGCUCACAGCUUCCCUGCCAACCUCUUUCAUAAUGAACUACAACUCCCAGCAACCACCCAGAGCAAUCUGCAGCUUCAAUGACCUUUAUUUAACCACACUUCCUGAUGUGAGCAAUGUUAGUUUGUGAUGCAAGAAAAUGUUAACACGUUUGUGGAGAAGGCGUUUGCUGUGCUGUGCACCAUGGUGUCACUGUAGCAUGGGGGUAGUGGUGACACAGAUGAACAAACAGACAGAAAAUUUGCCUUAG